rnacentral:misc_RNA from 1 species
GCCACACCUGAGAGCAGCACGACAGUGGUGAUACUCCCGCGCACCACCUCCACUUGAGAGCCCCCAUAGCACACGACAUUCGGCUCAUUAACGUCGCCUGGCCCCUACUCCAGCGCUCGCCCUCGCUUCUCCGCGCAGACGCCACGCAUCGCACGACUCGUGCUUUUCAGUUUUGUGUUCACAUAUACAUUUUGGGUUUCCUCCGUCGCAUUCGCCAUCGAUUCGCCGGCGUUCUAUUUCUGUCCUGCCGCUGAUUGUCGUCGCCUUGGCUUUUCACCUGAGAAACCGGGCGGAACACCAUCUCUCUCUGUCUGUCUGUAUCCGUCUGACUCUCGUGCCCCGGCCGCCGGCGUGCUUGUGGUUACUGUGGUGUGGUGGCGGAGGGUCGGCGUGCAGGUGUACGCAUACGCAGCCGCUAUCACUUAGCAACAGCCUUGCUGCCGCGCGCAACGGAGUUGCGCUGUGCGUGGGCUUGUGUUCGUGCUUCCCGGCGGGUGUGGGUCUUCUGUGUGGGCCGAGGUGGGAACCCGGAGCUCCCUCGUAGCGUCUCUCCUUCACCAUCGCGCACACACGACGCGCACCGUCCUCCCGCCUUCUCGCCUUCUGCAUAGCGUCGCAUCGCGGCCCGCUGUCGAGCUCUGGUAUGCUGGACUCAUGCCGGCCCACAAGCGUAUCGUCGAAGUCGAGGGGCUGCAGAACUGCCGCGACCUCGGCGGUUACCAUACACGGGAUGGCAAGCACGUCGUCAAGUACAAGCACAUCUACCGCUCCGACAACGUUGGUGACGUCACGCCUGAGGGCAAGAAGAUGCUCUUGGAGAAGCUGCGGCUCAAGUACAUCAUCGACUUUCGUGGUGCGGAGGAAAAGGCUCGCUCGCCGUACGCGUUCGCGGGUGUCACGUACUUCCCGAUCCCGAUCGAAACCUGCUUCAUUACCGAGCACGUGUUGACGAAGCCGUCGCUGGACGGGCCAUCUGCAGAGGCGCUGCUUCGGCGAAUCUCAACAACCUUUCUCAUCGACUUCAAGGACGUCUACAAGAACUUCUUCGACGUUUUUCUCAGGGAAGCAAAAGGGCAGCCGGUCUUGUUCCACUGCACAGCUGGCAAGGACCGCACCGGCGUGGCCGCCGCGCUCCUCUUGACCGCUCUGGACGUGCCCGCAGAAACUGUGAUGGAGGAUUUCAUGCUGACGAACCGGUGCUGCGUGCCGCCAUCGUGCGAAACGGUGAGAGUGGGCAACUGCAUCAUCUCGAAGGAUGCUGUCAACAUACUGUUCCGUGCCCAAGCCUUCUUCCUGGAGCUGUGCUUUGGCGAGGUGUGCAAGAGGUAUGGCUCGGUAAACGCGUACAUGGAGAAAGAGCUUGGGCUAGGUGUGGAGCAGCUAGAGAAGCUGCGCAGCUACUACGUCCGCCCGACCUCAUCGAGCUCAUGAUGGCAAACCUGCGCGAGCAUGACGGAGGUAAGCUCUGCGUGCAACCUUGCACUCUGCACCGGGUACUCUCAGCAAGGAAGAGAGCAUCGAAGAAUGAGAUAGGGGCGAAGGCCACACUCUUUUUUUUUUUGCCUUUGCCCUCGCGUGCGUCUCCGUCUUCAAGAGGGGAGGAGUAGAUGGGGGGUAUACCACUGCUGCCCCUCGUGCUGCUCUAACUCGUGCGGUUCCUUUGAGCCGAGCCGGUUACUCGCGCUGCCUUCCUCGCUUGCCUCCAGAAAGAGGCAGGUCCUCCAUGGAAUGCGUGAGUGCGCGUGUGCGCACAUCUGCUCGCUGACCGGUGUUCCUCCCUUUCUGUUUCCUUUAUAGUGACCGAGGCAUGCGGCUCGCUUGUCUGCGAUCCGGUCCCGCUUCGUGUGUUAUUGCUUAUUCGUAUCUCCGUAGCGAAGCUGGCCACCCCAACGUGGUGCCGCGGUCCGUCCAGUGCCCCGCUAUGUGGGGAGCCACGCGCCUGCGAAACUGCUUCUUGAGGUCGGCUUCUGCGGCGAAGGUUACGGCAUAGAGGCCGUAGAGAGAGACGUGACCAGGGUGGUGGUGGGGGGGUGCUGGGUCACUUUCCGUGUAUGCACUAGUCCUCUGCUGCGCGUGGCCACGUGCGGGACGCCAUCACCCACUUGCGCGUUCUGCGCACGAACGCCACCUUUGCGGUGCGGUAAGAUGUGGAGCGUGUACCGCUCACGGUGCACCUCACCCGCAUCCAACGAGGUCGGCGAUCGUGUAAAAGCCGCGCUGUGGGUGCGUGGCCACCGCUGCGAGGAGUUCCCCCGAAAGUCUGUGGUGUUGCCCGGGUCUGGAAGAAGAACAACGUCGUCACGGAAUCGCCGACGCCAGCGCUGCCAAGGUCUCCUUCGCCGCCUCCCACUCCAUGUUUCUCUGCGAGCCGUUUGGACUGCCCGACCCAUUCCUGUCCCCGCCCGAGGAGGCAUCCGACCCGUCUCUCUCCGCCGUCGGUGCAAACCGUCCAAAGUGCCUCUCUGCCAUCGUUUCGAGAUUAUACGUUGCCUCGGAUUCGCGCUCCGACCAGCGAGAUAGGCGGGCGGUUGCUGGCGGAAGGAGCGCGUGACGCAUCGAAGAGACGCUUCCGCGCGCAGGAAGAAGACCUCGCGCAUGGGGCGUGGAACCGUCACGGAUGGCGCCUCGCUACCGCAGCGCUCGCAGUGAUGACACCUGGGGGAGACAAAAAGAAUAUACUCGUAUCUUCCCCUGCCUUUUUGUUCCGUCGGUUUUUUGAAUAUGCAUACGUACGCAUAUAUGUUUGUAUAUCGUUGCUACCGUGUACAAUGCACGCCUUGUCUUUGCGUCUCUCGCCUAUUUCCAUAUAAUAUCUACAUGUAUGCAUCUGCAGAUAUAAAUUGCACGCACACCUAUAUAUAUAUAUAUAUAUAUGAAUCGAUCUAUGUUGCUCUUUCUUCCCCUCCUCCCCUCAGCACUCUCAUCGUCCUUUUUUCCUACCCGGGCUCCACAGCCGCACCCCUUCCCACCUUCCUGCCUUUUUGUCGUGUUGAUGUGCCUCAUUUUCGUUUUUUUUGCUUGUUUCUUCGCUUCAUUGUUCCUUUUCUGCUGUUUUUCCUCGGUUGUGUGCAUCCUCCCCCUCCCCCCCCGCUACCUGGGUUUCGUCACGAUGGAAAGGAGGGACAAGGAGCGGGGGCGCAGAGUCUUCCCAUGCUGGUGUGCGUGCCUCUCACUCUCUUGCUUCUUCUUCGAUCUUGUUCUUCGCGUGUUUGUCUCCGCCUGCGUACUGCCACCACG